CCUACGGGUGGCAGCAGUGAGGAAUAUUGGUCAAUGGUCGGGAGACUGAACCAGCCAAGCCGCGUGAGGGAUGAAGGUACUGUGUAUCGUAAACCUCUUUUGUCAGGGAACAAAGGCGGGGACGUGUCCCCGGAUGAGUGUACCUGAAGAAAAAGCAUCGGCUAACUCCGUGCCAGCAGCCGCGGUAAUACGGAGGAUGCGAGCGUUAUCCGGAUUUAUUGGGUUUAAGGGGUGCGCAGGCGGUCUGUUAAGUCAGCGGUAAAAGCCCGGGGCUAAACCCCGACCCGCCGUUGAAACUGGCAGUCUUGAGUUGGAGAGAGGUAGGCGGAAUGCGCGGUGUAGCGGUGAAAUGCAUAGAUAUCGCGCAGAACUCCGAUUGCGAAGGCAGCAUGCCAGCUCAACACUGACGCUGAGGCACGAAAGCGUGGGUAUCGAACAGGAUUAGAUACCCUUGUAGUC
rnacentral:rRNA from 1 species